UACGGGGGGAGCAAACGUUGUUCGGAAUUAUUGGGCGUAAAGCGCGUGUAGGCGGCCUGGCAAGUCGGGUGUGAAAGCCCUCAGCUCAACUGAGGAAGUGCGCCCGAAACUGCUAUGGCUUGAGUGCCGGAGAGGGUGGCGGAAUUCCCCAAGUAGAGGUGAAAUUCGUAGAUAUGGGGAGGAACACCGGUGGCGAAGGCGGCCACCUGGACGGUGACUGACGCUGAGACGCGAAAGCGUGGGGAGCAAACAGG
rnacentral:rRNA from 1 species